rnacentral:rRNA from 1 species
GACGAACGCUGGCGGCGUGCUUAACACAUGCAAGUCGAACGGUAAGGCCCUUCGGGGUACACGAGUGGCGAACGGGUGAGUAACACGUGGGUGAUCUGCCCUGCACUUCGGGAUAAGCCUGGGAAACUGGGUCUAAUACCGGAUAGGACCACUGCCUGCAUGGGUGGUGGUGGAAAGCUUUUGCGGUGUGGGAUGGGCCCGCGGCCUAUCAGCUUGUUGGUGGGGUGAUGGCCUACCAAGGCGACGACGGGUAGCCGGCCUGAGAGGGUGACCGGCCACACUGGGACUGAGAUACGGCACAGACGCCUACGGGAGGCGGCAGUGGGGAAUAUUGCACAAUGGGCGCAAGCCUGAUGCAGCGACGCCGCGUGAGGGAUGACGGCCUUCGGGUUGUAAACCUCUUUCAGCACCGACGAAGCGCAAGUGACGGUAGGUGCAGAAGAAGGACCGGCCAACUACGUGCCAGCCGCCGCUGUAA